rnacentral:rRNA from 1 species
UCUUGACGAACGCUGGCGGCGUGCCUAAUACAUGCAAGUCGAACGCUUCUUUUUCCACCGGAGCUUGCUCCACCGGAAAAAGAGGAGUGGCGAACGGGUGAGUAACACGUGGGUAACCUGCCCAUCAGAAGGGGAUAACACUUGGAAACAGGUGCUAAUACCGUAUAACAAUCAAAACCGCAUGGUUUUGAUUUGAAAGGCGCUUUCGGGUGUCGCUGAUGGAUGGACCCGCGGUGCAUUAGCUAGUUGGUGAGGUAACGGCUCACCAAGGCCACGAUGCAUAGCCGACCUGAGAGGGUGAUCGGCCACAUUGGGACUGAGACACGGCCCAAACUCCUACGGGAGGCAGCAGUAGGGAAUCUUCGGCAAUGGACGAAAGUCUGACCGAGCAACGCCGCGUGAGUGAAGAAGGUUUUCGGAUCGUAAAACUCUGUUGUUAGAGAAGAACAAGGAUGAGAGUAACUGUUCAUCCCUUGACGGUAUCUAACCAGAAAGCCACGGCUAACUACGUGCCAGCAGCCGCGGUAAUACGUAGGUGGCAAGCGUGGUCCGGAUUUAUUGGGCGUAAAGCGAGCGCAGGCGGUUUCUUAAGUCUGAUGUGAAAGCCCCCGGCUCAACCGGGGAGGGUCAUUGGAAACUGGGAGACUUGAGUGCAGAAGAGGAGAGUGGAAUUCCAUGUGUAGCGGUGAAAUGCGUAGAUAUAUGGAGGAACACCAGUGGCGAAGGCGGCUCUCUGGUCUGUAACUGACGCUGAGGCUCGAAAGCGUGGGGAGCAAACAGGAUUAGAUACCCUGGUAGUCCACGCCGUAAACGAUGAGUGCUAAGUGUUGGAGGGUUUCCGCCCUUCAGUGCUGCAGCUAAC